rnacentral:rRNA from 1 species
UACGUAAGGUCCGAGCGUUGUCCGGAAUCAUUGGGCGUAAAGGGUACGUAGGCGGGUAAGCAAGUUAGAAGUGAAAUCCUAUAGCUCAACUAUAGUAAGCUUUUAAAACUGUUUAUCUUGAGGUAUGGAAGGGAAAGUGGAAUUCCUAGUGUAGCGGUGAAAUGCGCAGAUAUUAGGAGGAAUACCGGUGGCGAAGGCGACUUUCUGGCCAUAUCCUGACGCUGAGGUACGAAAGCGUGGGUAGCAAACAGG